UUAAGCGACUAAGCGUACACGGUGGAUGCCCUGGCAGUCAGAGGCGAUGAAGGACGUGCUAAUCUGCGAUAAGCGUCGGUAAGGUGAUAUGAACCGUUAUAACCGGCGAUUUCCGAAUGGGGAAACCCAGUGUGAUUCGUCACACUAUCAUUAACUGAAUCCAUAGGUUAAUGAGGCGAACCGGGGGAACUGAAACAUCUAAGUACCCCGAGGAAAAGAAAUCAACCGAGAUUCCCCCAGUAGCGGCGAGCGAACGGGGAGCAGCCCAGAGCCUGAAUCAGUGUGUGUGUUAGUGGAAGCGUCUGGAAAGGCGCGCGAUACAGGGUGACAGCCCCGUACACAAAAAUGCACAUGCUGUGAGCUCGAUGAGUAGGGCGGGACACGUGGUAUCCUGUCUGAAUAUGGGGGGACCAUCCUCCAAGGCUAAAUACUCCUGACUGACCGAUAGUGAACCAGUACCGUGAGGGAAAGGCGAAAAGAACCCCGGCGAGGGGAGUGAAAAAGAACCUGAAACCGUGUACGUACAAGCAGUGGGAGCACNGUGUGACUGCGUACCUUUUGUAUAAUGGGUCAGCGACUUAUAUUCUGUAGCAAGGUUAACCGAAUAGGGGAGCCGAAGGGAAACCGAGUCUUAACUGGGCGUUAAGUUGCAGGGUAUAGACCCGAAACCCGGUGAUCUAGCCAUGGGCAGGUUGAAGGUUGGGUAACACUAACUGGAGGACCGAACCGACUAAUGUUGAAAAAUUAGCGGAUGACUUGUGGCUGGGGGUGAAAGGCCAAUCAAACCGGGAGAUAGCUGGUUCUCCCCGAAAGCUAUUUAGGUAGCGCCUCGUGAAUUCAUCUCCGGGGGUAGAGCACUGUUUCGGCAAGGGGGUCAUCCCGACUUACCAACCCGAUGCAAACUGCGAAUACCGGAGAAUGUUAUCACGGGAGACACACGGCGGGUGCUAACGUCCGUCGUGAAGAGGGAAACAACCCAGACCGCCAGCUAAGGUCCCAAAGUCAUGGUUAAGUGGGAAACGAUGUGGGAAGGCCCAGACAGCCAGGAUGUUGGCUUAGAAGCAGCCAUCAUUUAAAGAAAGCGUAAUAGCUCACUGGUCGAGUCGGCCUGCGCGGAAGAUGUAACGGGGCUAAACCAUGCACCGAAGCUGCGGCAGCGACGCUGAUGCGUUGUUGGGUAGGGGAGCGUUCUGUAAGCCUGCGAAGGUGUGCUGUGAGGCAUGCUGGAGGUAUCAGAAGUGCGAAUGCUGACAUAAGUAACGAUAAAGCGGGUGAAAAGCCCGCUCGCCGGAAGACCAAGGGUUCCUGUCCAACGUUAAUCGGGGCAGGGUGAGUCGACCCCUAAGGCGAGGCCGAAAGGCGUAGUCGAUGGGAAACAGGUUAAUAUUCCUGUACUUGGUGUUACUGCGAAGGGGGGACGGAGAAGGCUAUGUUGGCCGGGCGACGGUUGUCCCGGUUUAAGCGUGUAGGCUGGUUUUCCAGGCAAAUCCGGAAAAUCAAGGCUGAGGCGUGAUGACGAGGCACUACGGUGCUGAAGCAACAAAUGCCCUGCUUCCAGGAAAAGCCUCUAAGCAUCAGGUAACAUCAAAUCGUACCCCAAACCGACACAGGUGGUCAGGUAGAGAAUACCAAGGCGCUUGAGAGAACUCGGGUGAAGGAACUAGGCAAAAUGGUGCCGUAACUUCGGGAGAAGGCACGCUGAUAUGUAGGUGAAGUCCCUCGCGGAUGGAGCUGAAAUCAGUCGAAGAUACCAGCUGGCUGCAACUGUUUAUUAAAAACACAGCACUGUGCAAACACGAAAGUGGACGUAUACGGUGUGACGCCUGCCCGGUGCCGGAAGGUUAAUUGAUGGGGUCAGCGCAAGCGAAGCUCUUGAUCGAAGCCCCGGUAAACGGCGGCCGUAACUAUAACGGUCCUAAGGUAGCGAAAUUCCUUGUCGGGUAAGUUCCGACCUGCACGAAUGGCGUAAUGAUGGCCAGGCUGUCUCCACCCGAGACUCAGUGAAAUUGAACUCGCUGUGAAGAUGCAGUGUACCCGCGGCAAGACGGAAAGACCCCGUGAACCUUUACUAUAGCUUGACACUGAACAUUGAGCCUUGAUGUGUAGGAUAGGUGGGAGGCUUUGAAGUGUGGACGCCAGUCUGCAUGGAGCCGGCCUUGAAAUACCACCCUUUAAUGUUUGAUGUUCUAACGUUGACCCGUAAUCCGGGUUGCGGACAGUGUCUGGUGGGUAGUUUGACUGGGGCGGUCUCCUCCUAAAGAGUAACGGAGGAGCACGAAGGUUGGCUAAUCCUGGUCGGACAUCAGGAGGUUAGUGCAAUGGCAUAAGCCAGCUUGACUGCGAGCGUGACGGCGCGAGCAGGUGCGAAAGCAGGUCAUAGUGAUCCGGUGGUUCUGAAUGGAAGGGCCAUCGCUCAACGGAUAAAAGGUACUCCGGGGAUAACAGGCUGAUACCGCCCAAGAGUUCAUAUCGACGGCGGUGUUUGGCACCUCGAUGUCGGCUCAUCACAUCCUGGGGCUGAAGUAGGUCCCAAGGGUAUGGCUGUUCGCCAUUUAAAGUGGUACGCGAGCUGGGUUUAGAACGUCGUGAGACAGUUCGGUCCCUAUCUGCCGUGGGCGCUGGAGAACUGAGGGGGGCUGCUCCUAGUACGAGAGGACCGGAGUGGACGCAUCACUGGUGUUCGGGUUGUCAUGCCAAUGGCACUGCCCGGUAGCUAAAUGCGGAAGAGAUAAGUGCUGAAAGCAUCUAAGCACGAAACUUGCCCCGAGAUGAGUUCUCCCUGACUCCUUGAGAGUCCUGAAGGAACGUUGAAGACGACGACGUUGAUAGGCCGGGUGUGUAAGCGCAGCGAUGCGUUGAGCUAACCGGUACUAAUGAACCGUGAGGCUUAACCUU
rnacentral:rRNA from 1 species